UACACUCCUACGGGAGGCAGCAGUGGGGAAUAUUGCCCAAUGGGCGCAAGCCUGAUGCAGCCAUGCCGCGUGUAUGAAGAAGGCCUUCGGGUUGUAAAGUACUUUCAGCGGGGAGGAAGGCGAUAAGGUUAAUAACCUUGUUGAUUGACGUUACCCGCAGAAGAAGCACCGGCUAACUCCGUGCCAGCAGCCGCGGUAAUACGGAGGGUGCAAGCGUUAAUCGGAAUUACUGGGCGUAAAGCGCACGCAGGCGGUCUGUCAAGUCGGAUGUGAAAUCCCCGGGCUCAACCUGGGAACUGCAUUCGGAACUGGCAGGCUAGAGUCUUGUAGAGGGGGGUAGAAUUCCAGGUGUAGCGGUGAAAUGCGUAGAGAUCUGGAGGAAUACCGGUGGCGAAGGCGGCCCCCUGGACAAAGACUGACGCUCAGGUGCGAAAGCGUGGGGAGCAAACAGGAUUAGAAACCCGUGUAGUCCCAUG
rnacentral:rRNA from 1 species